AAAGCUCGUAGUCUAUUUCCUGUUCCCCUGAGUAAAACUUAGUGUAUAAGGCUGGUGGUUGUUUUAAGGUAUCUACGUGGCAUUACAAAUACUUUUGUUAAGUAAGAGGAACGGUCGGGGGCAUUCGAACCUUUCACAGCAAGAGGUGAAAUUCAGAGAACUGCGGGUGAUGAUCGUUCGCGAAAGCACAUGUUAAGUACGCUUUUAUUGAUGUAAGGCAAAAGUUUGGGCAUCGAAUACGAUUAGAUACCGUAUGUAGUCCUUACUAUAAACUAUGUCGACCGUGAAAAGGAGUGUAUUGUAUCAUUGGACAUUUCUGAACUUUGUGAGUAAUCAGAGUCUGGUUCCGGGGGGAGUAUGGUUGCAAGGCUAAAACUUAAAGGAAUUGACGGAAGGGCACUACAAGGCGUGGAGCUUGCGGCUUAAUUUGACUUAACGCGGGGAAACUUACCAGGAUCAGACGCUUAAUGGAUUGACAGUUUGAACGAGCUUACAUGAUUGGGUGGAUGGUGGUGCAUGGUCGUUUUUAGUUCGUGAGUUGUCUUGUCCAGUUGAUUCGGGUAACGAGCGAGAUCUUCAUUAAUCUUUUACGGACUGGUUUGGUUUGUUCAUGGUUUGACUGUGGCUAUUAUCUUAGGAAGUAAGCAAUGGAAGUCGGAGGAAAUAACAGGUCUGUGAUGCCCUUCGAUGUUCUGGGAUGCACGCGAGCUACAAUGUCGUUAAAAAAAAGGUUCUGUUACGGUAGUAUUGGGUAAACUUAAAUUGGUGACGUGAUGGGGAUCGAUCUUUGUCAUUCUUGAUAGUAAAAGCGGA
rnacentral:rRNA from 1 species